rnacentral:rRNA from 1 species
CAGUCGCCACGGGAAUACAGAGGGUGCGAGCGUUAAUCGGAUUUACUGGGCGUAAAGCGUGCGUAGGCGGCUUUUUAAGUCGGAUGUGAAAUCCCUGAGCUUAACUUAGGAAUUGCAUUCGAUACUGGGAAGCUAGAGUAUGGGAGAGGAUGGUAGAAUUCCAGGUGUAGCGGUGAAAUGCGUAGAGAUCUGGAGGGAUACCGAUGGCGAAGGCAGCCAUCUGGCCUAAUACUGACGCUGAGGUACGAAAGCAUGGGGAGCAAACAGGAUUAGAUACCCCCGUAGUCCCUGUCUCUUAUAC